rnacentral:rRNA from 1 species
GAUGAGGACAUCCCAAGUUCACCUCGCUUAUCAUCUUCUCCUGAUGAUAAAUCUCAGCCAUUAAGUGAAGCUUCUACAAAGAAGAUCUAUUUGGGUCCCAUGACAAGGAGCCGUGCCAAACAAAUAGCACAAGAGGUGAACGCGCAUCUAGCUUAUCAUAAUUCAAAUGACCAUGAGAAAUUUAUACUACCUAAAUCUCGCGUGCUGAUUUUACUUUGGUACAAUGUUAAGGACAACCAACAACAUUCAGCACAUGAAGAAACAAGUGUGCAGUUCCAGAAUUCGUCCCAGAACUUGCUGAAUCAUGCAACGGAAAUAUAUGAGCAUCCAGCAUGUGUGGGAGUACAAAAUGGAGAGCAUAUGAAGUCUACUUUCAGGAAAAUCGAACGGUGCAUCAUUUGGAGUCCUUAG